AGUGAACGCUGGCGGUAGGCCUAACACAUGCAAGUCGAACGGCAGCACAGUAAGAGCUUGCUCUUACGGGUGGCGAGUGGCGGACGGGUGAGGAAUACAUCGGAAUCUACUUUUUCGUGGGGGAUAACGUAGGGAAACUUACGCUAAUACCGCAUACGACCUACGGGUGAAAGCAGGGGAUCUUCGGACCUUGCGCGAUUGAAUGAGCCGAUGUCGGAUUAGCUAGUUGGCGGGGUAAAGGCCCACCAAGGGGACGAUCCGUAGCUGGUCUGAGAGGAUGAUCAGCCACACUGGAACUUAGACACGGUCCAGACUCCUACGGGAGGCAGCAGUGGGGAAUAUUGGACAAUGGGCGCAAGCCUGAUCCAGCCAUACCGCGUGGGUGAAGAAGGCCUUCGGGUUGUAAAGCCCUUUUGUUGGGAAAGAAAAGCAGCAGGUUAAUACCCCGCUGUUCUGACGGUACCCAAAGAAUAAGCACCGGCUAACUUCGUG
rnacentral:rRNA from 1 species